rnacentral:lncRNA from 1 species
AUUUAUGAUGCCGGAGAAGAAGGAUUCUUUUUUCCAAGAAUCAUUGCUAGAUACUGGUGGAAGCAAACAAAAUCAAGCAGGCCACUUGGAAAUCAAAGCACAUUUUAAAAUGAAGGAUUUGUUUUUAUCCUUACCAGGAGUAAAAGCUGGAAUGAACCUGGGCCCGCUGUUACCAUUUCUGUAAUUUCAGAUACUGGGUGACCUGGAGGAAUAUUAUGCUUAUUUUGCAAGAAGGAAAUUGAAGCACAGAAAAAGGAAGUUAUAGAGUUUCCACACAUUUUGUAAGUCUAAACGGAAACAUUUGAGAAUGAGGAUAAACAGAGAACUGAAAAAGCUUCAGACUCCUGAGUCUCUGUACUCUUCCAAAUAAUAGAGUGAACAAGUUUGAACCUUAUGGAGAUGAUGAGGCUCUGGAAAGAGACAGAAGAAGAACUGAGUCUAUGUUGUUUGUGAGGGUCUGCACAGGCAAAAACAUCUAGAAUUAAUUAAAUUUCCAGCUGUUUUAGAGGACUGAGUGCAAUUCAUACAUUUGCUGGGAAGGAGAGCUGCCAAAAGUUGAUGUUCUGCUUACAAGUCCAGCACAAAACCAAAAAUAACUGAGGGUUUUUCUGAUUUAGCUAGCCUGCUUCCAGUAUGCAGCAGUGGACACAACAGUUUGCAGAGGACAGCACACAGAAGGAGCUAACAUUUCUGCUUGGAUCAGCAUCUGCAUCCUCUACAGGAGCAUUGGGGCAUGGAAGGGCAUGUUGUCCAGCUCUUCAAGAGCACAUAUUCCUGCAC